rnacentral:rRNA from 1 species
UACGUAGGGGGCUAGCGUUGUCCGGAUUUAUUGGGCGUAAGCGCGUGUAGGCGGCCAGGAAGGUCCGCUGUGAAAACUCGAGGCUCAACCUCGAGAUGUCGGCGGAAACCCUCUGGCUAGAGUCCGGAAGAGGAGAGUGGAAUUCCUGGUGUAGCGGUGAAAUGCGCAGAUAUCAGGAAGAACACCAGUGGCGAAGGCGCUCUGCUAGGCCGUAACUGACACUGAGGGACGAAAGCUAGGGGAGCGAAUGGG